rnacentral:misc_RNA from 1 species
AAGUCGUAACAAGGUUUCCGUAGGUGAACCUGCGGAGGGAUCAUUACCACGUUUCCAACGUACCAAACAAACCGCGAACCUGUAAACCCCCCCCCACCUAUGGAACCAUCGGUAUCUUUAGCCCCUUGAAGGGUUACUAGGCAACUAGUGACGCGGGCUUUAAUGCUAGGAGAUGAAAUAAGCUCUAAGGUGCAUCCAUAGAUUAUAAAAUGUCCCUUCAUAACCUUUAUCUUUAAUGAUAUCACCCUACCAAUUGACUAACCCUUGACUUGCUACCGGCAACGGUACAAGUUGAAUUGAGUUUAUCAUAACUAAGUACAACUCUUAGCAACGGAUAUCUCGGUUCUC